UAAACAGCAAUGACGAGCAGGAGUACAGCUUUGUUGGCAUUUCAGAGACGUUCUGAAUGGUGAAAGGAACGAUGCCACGCACUGGAAAGUAGGCUCUAAGCGUCCGGUGCGAGGAGUGCCGGUUGGCUGCCACCAUUAUCAGGCCAACGGAUAAGCUUAACACUGUCCGCAGAGGCUACUUUUUGUAGCAAAAACAAGGUGGUACCGCGCAUUAGCGCCCUUCGU
rnacentral:ncRNA from 1 species